CCUACGGGUGGCAGCAGUGAGGAAUAUUGGUCAAUGGCCGGGAGUCUGAACCAGCCAAGUCGCGUGAGGGAAGACGGCCCUACGGGUUGUAAACCUCUUUUGUCAGGGAGCAAGGUUCAGUUCGUGACCUGCUCUGAGAGUACCUUACGAAUAAGCAUCGGCUAACUCCGUGCCAGCAGCCGCGGUAAUACGGAGGAUGCGCGCGUUAUCCGGAUUUAUUGGGUUUAAAGGGUGCGCAGGCGGAGGCACAAGUCAGCGGUAAAAUCGCGGGGCUCAACCCCGAUCCGCCGUUGAUACUGUGGACCUUGAGUGCGCGAAGGGUAGGCGGAAUGCGUGGUGUAGCGGUGAAAUGCAUAGAUAUCACGCAGAACUCCGAUCGCGAAGGCAGCCUACCGGCGCGCAACUGACGCUCAUGCACGAAAGCGUGGGUAUCGAACAGGAUUAGAUACCCGAGUAGUC
rnacentral:rRNA from 1 species